GGAGAGGUGGCAGAGUGGUCGAAUGCGGCGGUCUCGAAAACCGUUAUACCUUCGGGUAUCGAGAGUUCGAAUCUCUCCCUCUCCG
rnacentral:tRNA from 1 species